rnacentral:rRNA from 1 species
GUGAGGAAUAUUGCGCAAUGAGCGAAAGCUAGACGCAGCAACGCCGCGUGGACGAUGAAGGCCUUCGGGUCGUAAAGUCCUUUUCAAGGGGACGAGAGAGGACGGUACCCUUGGAAUAAGUCACGGCUAACUACGUGCCAGCAGCCGCGGUAAAACGUAGGUGGCAAGCGUUAUCCGGAUUCACUGGGCGUAAAGGGCCUGCAGGCGGUCUCGUAAGUGGGAUGUGAAAUCUCCUGGCUUAACUGGGAGGGGCCAUUCCAUACUGCGGGACUUGAGGGCAGAAGAGGGAAGCGGAAUUCCCGGUGUAGUGGUGAAAUGCGUAGAUAUCGGGAGGAACACCAGUGGCGAAGGCGGCUUCCUGGCCUGCUCCUGACGCUAAGAGGCGAAAGCUAGGGGAGCGAACGGGAUUAGAAACCCGAGUAGUCC